CCUUCGAUAGCUCAGUUGGUAUAGCGGGGGACUGUAGAUCCCUAAGUCACUGGUUCAAAUCCGGUUCAAAGGA
rnacentral:tRNA from 1 species